rnacentral:sRNA from 1 species
GGCCCUCCUGAAGCUGUGCGCUCGGUGGAAGAGGACGACCACCCCAGAUAGAAGGAGU